AGUGAUGAAGGUUUUCGGAUCGUAAAACUCUGUUGUCAGGGAAGAACAAGUGCCGGAGUAACUGCCGGCACCUUGACGGUACCUGACCAGAAAGCCACGGCUAACUACGUGCCAGCAGCCGCGGUAAUACGUAGGUGGCAAGCGUUGUCCGGAAUUAUUGGGCGUAAAGCGCGCGCAGGCGGUUUCUUAAGUCUGAUGUGAAAGCCCCCGGCUCAACCGGGGAGGGUCAUUGGAAACUGGGAAACUUGAGUGCAGAAGAGGAGAGUGGAAUUCCACGUGUAGCGGUGAAAUGCGUAGAGAUGUGGAGGAACACCAGUGGCGAAGGCGACUCUCUGGUCUGUAACUGACGCUGAGGCGCGAAAGCGUGGGGAGCGAACAGGAUUAGAUACCCUGGUAGUCCACGCCGUAAACGAUGAGUGCUAAGUGUUAGAGGGUUUCCGCCCUUUAGUGCUGCAGCUAACGCAUUAAGCACUCCGCCUGGGGAGUACGGUCGCAAGACUGAAACUCAAAGGAAUUGACGGGGGCCCGCACAAGCGGUGGAGCAUGUGGUUUAAUUCGAAGCAACGCGAAGAACCUUACCAGGUCUUGACAUCCUUUGCCACUUCUAGAGAUAGAAGGUUCCCCUUCGGGGGACAAAGUGACAGGUGGUGCAUGGUUGUCGUCAGCUCGUGUCGUGAGAUGUUGGGUUAAGUCCCGCAACGAGCGCAACCCUUGAUCUUAGUUGCCAGCAUUCAGUUGGGCACUCUAAGGUGACUGCCGGUGACAAACCGGAGG
rnacentral:rRNA from 1 species